CCUACGGGAGACAGCAGUGAGGAAUAUUGGUCAAUGGACGAGAGUCUGAACCAGCCAAGUAGCGUGAAGGAUGACUGCCCUAUGGGUUGUAAACUUCUUUUAUAUGGGAAUAAAAUGUUCCACGUGUGGGAUUUUGUAUGUACCAUAUGAAUAAGGAUCGGCUAACUCCGUGCCAGCAGCCGCGGUAAUACGGAGGAUCCGAGCGUUAUCCGGAUUUAUUGGGUUUAAAGGGAGCGUAGGUGGAUUGUUAAGUCAGUUGUGAAAGUUUGCGGCUCAACCGUAAAAUUGCAGUUGAAACUGGCAGUCUUGAGUACAGAAGAGGUGGGCGGAAUUCGUGGUGUAGCGGUGAAAUGCUUAGAUAUCACGAAGAACUCCGAUUGCGAAGGCAGUUCACUGGACUGCAACUGACACUGAGGCUCGAAAGUGUGGGUAUCAAACAGGAUUAGAUACCCUUGUAGUC
rnacentral:rRNA from 1 species